GUUAUUAUAAUUCUUUACUCUGUAGUCAAUUCCGUCAUGUUAGACAGGUUACGUCAACUGUCAGUGUUAGUGUCACUUUUUAGCAAGAUGACCACGCGGUCGGCUCGUCGGCUAACACGAGCUUUCGACGAAAUACAAAUAGCAGAACUUCUUAAUAAUUCGGAGUUCGAAGACUCGGAUGAUGAAGAUGUGUCUGACCUGACCUCCCUGACCUAACCUAAACCUGUCCUCGGAAUCUGAAGGUGGAGAAAUAGAAAUCGCUGUAAGUGGAGGUGGAUCUACUCGUCGUACUCAAAGUGCUCGUGACCAACGAGUUGGACGUGGCCGUGGUAGAAGUACAAGCUCAAGGGCACGACAUACCGACAUAUAGUGCCUGUACCAUCAAAAAUGCGACUCUUAUAUGGCAAUAUCCACUUACCGGAACAUCUUCAACAAGAAAUUGUUACAGGGCCUUUCAUCAACAAGAGAAUUAAUAAUAAGCAAUAAAAACCAUAACUUGCCGACUUUAGUUUAUAAAAAUAUUGAUCUCGUAUACUUACUUGACUGUGAUUUUGAAAUAAGAUGUCAAUUAAACUAGCACGUCAGGAAGAUUGUUUUGUCCUCAUCCUAUUUCGAUAAUUAGAAUAGUGAUACUGUUAUCCUCUGGUUUAUAAAAGUAAAUUAUGCUAAUAUUGUCUUUGAGGGAGUAUCUUAUAAAUGUUUCUAGAAGAAAAAUAUUGUUUAUGUUGUAAUAAAAUAAAAUAUAUACUA